AGGCCGCGGGGGAAGAGCGCGCCCAGCAGCCCGUGCAGGUGCCGGACAAAGGCGCUUCCGGCAGAAGAAGGCAGUAGGAGGGACUUCCGGUGGCGGCAGAGAAUGACGUCACUGCUGUCGUUGCUGUUUCUGAGGCGGCUGCGCGGAGUGGCCAACGCGACUGGCCUUCGGGAUGGCGGCUCUCGCUGAGCAGAGCGGCGUGGCCUUUGAGGACGUGGCUGUAUUCUUCUCCCUGGACGAGUGGGAGCUGCUCGGCGAGGCGCAGAGACUCCUGUACCACACGGUGAUGCUGGAGAACUUGGGGCUCCUUCUGUCCCUGGGCUGCGGCCAUGGAGCGGAGGAUGAGGGGCCUUCUGAGCGGAGCAUCUCUGUGCUGCAGCUGGGAGUGUCCCGGGGCGGUCCUCCUCAGACGCACCUGCCCUCCCGGAAGGCCCUCCCCUGCGGCGUGUGUGGCCUGGUGGCAGAGGACGUCUUGCCCUCGGCCGGCCACCCAAGAACACGUUCUCCACGGGAACCUAGGAAUCUGGGGUCGAGCAGGGACCAGCUGCGAGUCUGCCCCGACCUUCACCCCGGAACGGAGCCCUUGGCAAGCGGUGCGGAUGGGGCCUGGUGUGGGGAGAAGCCCUCCCGCCUCAGGGCGGUGGGAGAGCACCUCUCGUCCGACGCCGAGUCUCCCAGGCAGCGGCCGGCCCCAGGCGGGGCUACUUUUCACGGUCUGAGAGGCUGCACUGGAGCCUCCUGCAGCAAACGAACACUCGCUUGGCUCCACAGCCUCCUGAGAGAAAGCUGCUUUCUGUUCAACACGCUGGGGAACUCCCAGAGCAGAGACGACGGCUCCGGCCACAGUCAGAGACCCCAUCGGAGGCCGCCGGUGCCCGGGGGCUGUGGAGCACCGCUUCCGAAGCCAGAGCCGGAGCCUGAGGUGGCCCCCGUGCGGCCGAGGCCCGUUCGCAGCAGGGCGAGGCCCUCGAGGCCCUACGAGUGUGAGGUGUGCGGGAAGUCCUUCACUCGCAGCUCCAACCUCGUCACACACCAGAGAGUGCACACCGGGGAGCGGCCUUACGGCUGCGGGGCCUGCGGAAAGUCCUUCAGCCGCAAGUCCAACCUCGUCGUCCACCACAGGGUCCACACCAAAGAGAGGCCCUACGCAUGCGGCGACUGCGGGAAGGCCUUCUGCCAGAGUUCCACCCUCCUCCAGCACCGCCGCGUCCACACCGGGGAGCGGCCCUACGCGUGCGGUGAGUGCGGCAAGGCCUUCACGCGCUUCUCGGCGCUCAGCCAGCACCGGAGGAUCCACUCUGGGGCCCGGCCCUUCGCCUGCGCCGAGUGCGGGAAGUCGUUCGCCGAGAGCGGCCGGCUGGCCAAGCACCGGCGCGUGCACACCGGGGAGCGGCCGUUCAGGUGCGGGGAGUGCGGGCGGGCUUUCUGCCAGCGGGCCUCGCUGCUGCGCCACCAGGCGGCCCACACCGGGGAGCGGCCGUUUGAGUGCGAGGUGUGCGGCAAGCGCUUCGGGCAGAAGCCCAGCCUCACACAGCACUGGAGCGUCCACAGCACCGAGAAGCCUUUCAGCUGCGGGGACUGCGGGAAGGCCUUCAGGCGCAAGUCGGAGCUCGCGGAGCACCGCAAGGUGCACACAGGGGAGAAGCCGCACUCCUGCGCCGUGUGCGGGAAGGCCUUCAGCCAGAAGUCCAACCUGAACAUCCACCAGAUAGUGCACACCAGGGAGCGGCCCUACACCUGCCGCGAGUGCGGGAAGGCCUUCAGCCAGAGCUCCACGCUGCUCAAACACCACCGCAUCCACACCGGGGAGCGGCCCUAUGCGUGCGGCGAGUGCGGCAAGACCUUCAACCAGAGCUCCGCGCUGCGCCAACACCAGCGGCUGCACACCGGGGCCCGGCCCUUCGCGUGCGCCGAGUGCGGGAAGACGUUCGCCGAGAAUGCCAGGCUGGUGAAGCACCGGCGGGUGCACACGGGGGAGCGGCCCUACCGGUGCGGAGUCUGUGGGAAGGCCUUCGCCGACAACUCCAACUUCAUCCUGCACAGGCGGGUGCACACGGGGGAGCGGCCCUACCGGUGCGGCGAGUGCGGCAAAGCCUUCAGCCAGAGCUCGGGGCUGCUGCAGCACCAGAGGGUGCACAGCGGAGAGCGGCCCUUCCGCUGCACCCGGUGUGGCCGAUCCUUCGCCAAGAACUUCAGUCUUGUCAAGCACAGCCGUGUCCAUGCCGAGGGCAGCCCUCACGCUGCUGCGGCGGACGUGGCGGGUCCUGUCCCAGCGGCGGCUCUGCUCUAGGACGGCCCAGUGUGCUCGCGCAGCCGCGGCCAUGCCUGUGGUGAGAUCGGGGAGUUCUUUUUCAUCUCUUAUUAUUUAUUUACUGGAGAGAGACGGCCAGAAAUUGGGGGGGCAGAGAGACCGAGAGACCCCCGCAGCCCUGCGUCACCACUCGCAAAGCUUCCCCCCUGCAGUUGGGACAGGGGGCUUGAACCUGGGUCCUUGUGCAGGAAAUUCUCAAUUUAUUUACUGGAUAGAGACAGCCAACAAUCAAGAGAGAUGAGUGAGAGAGACCCCUGCAGCCCUGCUUCACCACUCACAAAGCUUUCCCCCCUGCAGGUGGGACCAGGGGCUCGAACCCGGUCCUUGCGCGUUGUAACUAACGUGGGCUCAACCAGGUGCGCCACCACCCGGCCCCUUUGGGAAGUUCUUGAGUGACCCAGUGGGUGAUGGCCACUGAGAAGGCCUCCCGCGUGCAGUGCGCCUGAGAACGCCUUUGACCCCACCGCCCGCGCCCCGCGCCAGAAGGUGUGAGUGGACUGUGUUGUCCCUCAGUCGCCCGGACGUCCUCAUCUCACUGAACUCCACGCUCCCCUUAGCCCACACGUACGUGGGAACCGGGGAGCACUGUCAGAGCCGGGGACCUUCAGCAGACUGCUGGCACUGCCUCUCCUGUGAAGUCUGCUGCCCUCACGCUGGGCGGUGCCUCACGGCCUGCAGCGCUGUGGGUCUGAGCCGCCUGCUGCUGCUCCCACCCUGGCUCUGGCAUGAAGCAGGUUCUGACUCUGCUCCAAGGCGUGUGCUCCCAGGCGCGCCACCCUGGCCCUGAGCACGGUGCUGCUUUCGAGGAACAGACUCCUGUCAAGUAUGCUGUGGGCCUCACACUAAUUCUGUGAUGGAGUUUUCCUUCCUUCAGUUCUCUGUUAGAAACUAUUUAUUUAUUUAUACUUGAAUUCAAGAUGUACGGAGAGAGAGCCCAGAGCCCUGCUGAGCUCUGAAGGUGGUGCUGGGGACUGGACCUGGGGUCGUAGAGUCUCUGCGGAACCACUGUGCCGUCUCCCAGACCCCUUCCUUCAGUCCUUCAGUUCCCAAAUAACCUGCCUCCUGUUGCUCUGGCCUGUUAGAAAUUAAAAACACGAAUUAAAGGUUGUAGGUGAGAAUGUGCAGAGAGAACAGUCCCAGGGAGAUGAUCAGUGGGGUCCAGGAGCCCGCGCUGCCCUGUCAGCAGCCCCAGUAAAAAUGGCGCAGACACUGCACGCACGGUCACCUCAGUCCUCUGAGGUGGGGCUGCCAGGUGCUCCGGGUCGUGCUUUCUGAUGCCGCCAGCAGCUGUUAACGGGACGUUCUCUUCUGGGGUCCCGUGAUCUGUGUUCCCCAGAGGACAGCACUCACCAGUUUUCACUUACUUGCUGUGGCUUCCCAGGACCUCGAGGAGAAGACGGCAGGGUUUGCAGUCUGUGUGACGGCUCUGGGUUCCCUCCCCGGCAUAAAUAAUAAAGGGGCGUUGAAGACGUU